rnacentral:rRNA from 1 species
GAUGAACGCUGGCGGCGUGCCUAAUACAUGCAAGUCGAGCGAACAGACGAGGAGCUUGCUCCUCUGACGUUAGCGGCGGACGGGUGAGUAACACGUGGAUAACCUACCUAUAAGACUGGGAUAACUUCGGGAAACCGGAGCUAAUACCGGAUAAUAUAUUGAACCGCAUGGUUCAAUAGUGAAAGACGGUUUUGCUGUCACUUAUAGAUGGAUCCGCGCCGCAUUAGCUAGUUGGUAAGGUAACGGCUUACCAAGGCAACGAUGCGUAGCCGACCUGAGAGGGUGAUCGGCCACACUGGAACUGAGACACGGUCCAGACUCCUACGGGAGGCAGCAGUAGGGAAUCUGCCGCAAGGGGCGAAAGCCUGACGGAGCAACGCCGCGUGAGUGAUGAAGGUCUUCGGAUCGUAAAACUCUGUUAUUAGGGAAGAACAAAUGUGUAAGUAACUAUGCACGUCUUGACGGUACCUAAUCAGAAAGCCACGGCUAACUACG